rnacentral:rRNA from 1 species
GAUGAACGCUGGCGGCGUGCCUAAUACAUGCAAGUCGAGCGAACAGACGAGGAGCUUGCUCCUCUGACGUUAGCGGCGGACGGGUGAGUAACACGUGGAUAACCUACCUAUAAGACUGGGAUAAUUUCGGGAAACCGGAUCUAAUACCGGAUAAUAUAUUGAACCGCAUGGUUCAAUAGUGAAAGACGGUUUUGCUGUCUCUUAUAGAUGGAUCCGCGCCGCAUUAGCUAGUUGGUAAGGUAACGGCUUACCAAGGCGACGAUGCGUAGCCGACCUGAGAGGGUGAUCGGCCACACUGGAACUGAGACACGGUCCAGACUCCUACGGGAGGCAGCAGUAGGGAAUCUUCCGCAAUGGGCGAAAGCCUGACGGAGCAACGCCGCGUGAGUGAUGAAGGUCUUCGGAUCGUAAAACUCUGUUAUUAGGGAAGAACAAAUGUGUAAGUAACUAUGCACGUCUUGACGGUACCUAAUCAGAAAGCCACGGCUAACUACGUG